rnacentral:lncRNA from 1 species
GCGGGCAGAGGCAGCAAGUGGGGGUCAGGAGGGCUGGUGGGCUGGACACUCACCCUCGCCUCCAGUCCGAGCGCAGAGGCACCGAUCACUGCUCCAUCGCCGCCCGCACAGGCCCGCCUUGGCCGCGGGCUCCGGAGUCCAGGCCCCGCUCGCUCCUCACCCCUGCCUGCGCCCCAACCUCCUCCCCCCAGAAAUCGCACUCACUCCACCCCGCCCGUCUUGCCUAGUCUGGUCUCGCCAGCGCCCUUGACCCCCCUGGGUGCUGUCCUGUCUGCCGUGCCAGUCCCAGUGCCGCGUGGGAACGGCGCGUCCGCAGGCUGGGCCCCCAGCAGCCUCCUUGCUGCCGAAAUCACUCCGGAGCCCUGUACCUGCGGCCGCAACUCCCUCCGGGUGACGUCCUGCCGCGGGUUCCCCGCGCACUGCACCUUCUUUCCCGCUCUCCGGCCCUCAAGGCUCUGGCACGGGCCUGGGAGGCCCGUGCCAGAGCCGCUCCUGUACCUGCUACUAAAUGAAUUGCGGUGGGUGAGAUGUGGUAGCGGCUGGGGACCCUUUGUAUCCUGAAUCCCCCUUCUCGUCCUGUCCGACCCGGGCCUGGAACGCCCCACACGUGCUGGAUCCCUGCGGCCACCUGUCACCUCCCUGGAGGUGGUGGCCUUUGCACCUCCCUUGCUGGCAGCCCCACCUCAUCUUCCGUCCUGCCCUCCUGAAAUGCUCUUUCCACCUGGGACGGGCCCACAGCCCCCCCAGCCUGCUCAGUCUCAGCUCCCCCCGAGACGAUGUCACCUGUUCUAACCACCCUGCCUUCUUCCCGCCCUUCUGUCGGGAGGUCAGCCGCUUCUCCUCACCAGUCCUUGCUCCCCAAACCUCCUUCUUGCAGAAGGCCAGCGAAGCAAGGCCCAGAGAGGAGAAGAGGACUCACCUGCCCACGGUUGCAGCUACACCUCCACUGCCCCAGGCCCGGGGGCGAACCCCUCUCCAGCUCCCCCUCGUCCACCAGCCGCCACGUCCU